rnacentral:rRNA from 1 species
AAACCAGCACCUCAAGUGGUCAGGAUGAUUAUUGGGCCUAAAGCAUCCGUAGCCGGCUCUGUAAGUUUUCGGUUAAAUCUGUAUGCUCAACAUACAGGCCGCCGGGAAUACUGCAGAGCUAGGGAGUGGGAGAGGUAGACGGUACUCGGUAGGAAGGGGUAAAAUCCUUUGAUCUAUUGAUGACCACCUGUGGCGAAGGCGGUCUACCAGAACACGUUCGACGGUGAGGGAUGAAAGCUGGGGGAGCAAACCGGAUUAGAAACCCCGGUAGUCC